CCUGGGUGCCCGCAGGGAGCCCUAGCACAGGUGCUGCAUGGCCGUCGUCAGGCUCGUGCCGUGAGGUGUUGGGUUAAGUCCCGCAACGAGCGCAACCCCCGCCGUUAGUUGCCAGCGGUUCGGCCGGGCACUCUAACGGGACUGCCCGCGAAAGCGGGAGGAAGGAGGGGACGACGUCUGGUCAGCAUGGCCCUUACGGCCUGGGCGACACACGUGCUACAAUGCCCACUACAAAGCGAGGCCACCCGGCAACGGGGAGCUAAUCGCAAAAAGGUGGGCCCAGUUCGGAUUGGGGUCUGCAACCCGACCCCAUGAAGCCGGAAUCGCUAGUAAUCGCGGAUCAGCCAUGCCGCGGUGAAUACGUUCCCGGGCCUU
rnacentral:rRNA from 1 species